UACGUAGGGGGCAAGCGUUGUCCGGAAUCAUUGGGCGUAAAGAGCGUGUAGGCGGUCCGGUCAGUCGGUUGUGAAAGUCAAGGGCUCAACCCUUGAAUGCCGGUGGAUACUGUCGGGCUAGAGUCCGGAAGAGGCGAGUGGAAUUCCUGGUGUAGCGGUGAAAUGCGCAGAUAUCAGGAGGAACACCAAUGGCGAAGGCAGCUCGCUGGGACGGUACUGACGCUGAGGAGCGAAAGCCAGGGGAGCAAACGGG
rnacentral:rRNA from 1 species